rnacentral:rRNA from 1 species
CCUACGGGAGGCAGCAGUAGGGAAUAUUGCUCAAUGGGGGAAAGCCUGAAGCAGCAACGCCGCGUGGAGGAUGAAGGUUUUCGGAUUGUAAACCCCUUUUGUUAGAGAAGAUAAUGACGGUAUCUAACGAAUAAGCACCGGCUAACUCCGUGCCAGCAGCCGCGGUAAUACGGAGGGUGCAAGCUGUACUCGGAAUCACUGGGCGUAAAGAGCGCGUAGGAGGGAUAGCAAGUCAGAGGUGAAAUCCUAUGGCUUAACCAUAGAACUGCAUUUGAAACUGUUAUUCUAGAGUGUGGGAGAGGUAGGUGGAAUUCUUGGUGUAGCGGUGAAAUCCGUAGAGAUCAAGAGGAAUACUCAUUGCGAAGGCGACCUGCUAGAACAUAACUGACGCUGAUGCGCGAAAGCGUGGGGAGCAAACAGGAUUAGAUACCCCAGUAGUC